rnacentral:lncRNA from 1 species
GAUAAGAUACGGCCGACGUAUAAAAGGGACUGGAUCAAAGUCUACAGGUAAUUACACACUUUUAACUACGGUGGAAGCUGUUUUUUCACAAAUAUGUGUGUUUCAAAUAUCACAAGUAAGUCUUAUACAUUAAUCGUAUUGAAGGGACUUGUACUUAUUAAACGUGCCUUUUUUUAUCAAGAAAUAAUCUAUAGUAUUAUAAAAUUUGCUAGCUGCUUAUCCUAGUUUCAAAUAUACCAUUAGUAUAUUCGUUUGGUUUUUUUAAGUUUCAUCACAAGCAAAUUUAUAUAUUUAUCCAGGUUCAUGUGUUUUUGUCACCUUAUACUUCAAUACUAUAAAAAAAAUUCUAAUAUGAAAAAAAACAAAUCUGGUUUCCCUAUCUUCCCUUUUUACUUUAACAUUAAUUAUUUAUAAACUACAAAAACAUGUCGCAGAAAAAGGCUAAUUAGUCCAGUCAAUCUAGCAUACAUUUAACCCUUACCUUGAGGUUAUUGCAACACAAGAUUUUUAAGUUUUAAUCUUUAGCAUUAUAACCCAUAAAUAGACAAAAAGUCCCAUCAAAUCUAACUUGAGGAAAACUAAAAAAUCAUGAUUAUAACAUUCCUAUUGAGAUUUACAUUGAUAUGAGAGAUAACUCUGCAAAAAAGGCAGAAAAAUCAAUAAAAAUUGAUACAAAAUUAUAACGUUAUCGAUUCUAUGGAACAGAUUGCGUUGCUUCCUGAUAUUUUAGCCGUGUUUAGAGUAUAACAAAUAACUCUAAAGGUGUCUUCAUAUCUUUUAUCAAGCUACAACCUAGAUUUCAUAAUUCAUUAGUUGACCAUUUGAUAGAUUUUUCAGCAUGUCAAGGUAGAGAAUCUCAAAUUAAAUUAAAUUGAUUAAGCAUAUGUAUUCCUCUUUUUGUGGUUUAAAGUUAUCUUUAUAAAACAAGGUAGAUGCCAAACAAAUAUAACUUACAGAUAUAAACAAUACCAAAUGUUCACAUUAUUAUUUAAAAAUGUCCAGAAAGCCAUAAAUUUUCAAUUUCAUUAAUGAAAAGUUACAAAAAAUAAUAACUAAAUCCAUAUCACUUAAGUUUGUACAUUUCAUGAGCAGAAGAUUAUAUAAUAUAGUCAAAUAUGAACUUAUUACCCAUCAAAGGAUCAUAUUUUACAUGAAUUUUAAGAAAAUCAACCAUUAGGUGACAAAAGACUAAUUUUUGCGGAGAUUUCUCCCUUUCAAUUGAUAAUUUCUAUAAGAAAUUCAAAGGACAAGGUACGAUAAGGCCGGUUUUUUGCGUCAAAAUUACGUCGAUUAAGACAACAAAAAAAGUGCUAACGAAUUUCUAAUAAAGAAAUUUCUGGGUCAUGUUGGUGCAGGCACUUCAAAACUAAAAACAGUACAAAACACCUGAAAAGUGAAUAAUAAUUACAUUAUUUGAAUAAUAACAGUUUAAUGAAGUUCAUUAUAACAAACUUCAAGCAUUAGGAAAUAUUUUAACAUAAUAAGUAGCUUUCAAAAACAAAAUUUGAAAAAUGAGAAAAUAGGGGGGUAAAAAACAGGCCUUGAAUUAUUCUUUAAGUUAGAUUUGAUGGGACUUUUGUCUGUGUAUGUUCAGGGCUUAAUGUUAUAGAUUAAAACGACAACAUUUUCUGUUGCAAUUAGUUUGACGACGGGUGCCACAUGUGGAGCAGGAUCUGCUUACCCUUCCGGAGCACUGAGAUCAACCCUAGUUUUUGGUGGGGUUCGUGUUGUUUGUUCUUUAGUUUUUUCUAUGUUGUGUCAUGCGUAAUAUUGUUUUUCUGUUUGUCUUCUUCAUUUUUAGCCAUGGCGUUGUCAGUUUGUUUUAGAUUUUUAGCGUUUGACUGUCCUUUUGGUAUCUUUCGUCCCUCUUUUAAACUUAUGUUUUAGUGGACUAAAUGGGUUUUUGCGUAACUAAAUGUUUUUUUCCCCUCAUAGUUCUGAAAAAAGACAUGAUUGCCGAUCAACAAAUUAAAUAAAAAAAACAAUAUUUUUUUUAUUUGAAAGUGAAUAUUAAAACAAUUCGACGUGUCAAUAUAUAAAUCGAUUAAGCGCAAUAUUUCAAAAUUAUGCUCAUGCAUACUUAUAAUAAUGCAUAUUUGUCUAAUUUCUGUCAAUAAUGUAUGGUGUUAUUUUGCAGCGACACCAUGUAGAAUGGUCACGAUAUAUUUGUAGUAUUAGACACAAUCUACUCUAUACUUUAUUGUUUGGCCUAUCUAGUUAAAAAAUAGUACCCCAUUAUUCUUUAUGACUUCAUCUCCAAUUGAUGACUGGGGAAUCACAAUAUGGUCAUCAUUGGUUUUAAUUUUUAUCACGUUGUUUAUUACUGUUGUUUUUUAUUUGUAAAUAAUCAAUUUGCUUUAGUCUAGAAUUUUAGUAUAUUGAAGCACUUUUUGUCUAAUUUUAAAAAUGUGCUUUAAAUUGUAAAAAUAUUCGAAUUAGCUCUCGCCGCGAUAUAGCAUUUUUGUGCUAAUGCGACGUAAAGCAACCAACAAUCAAUCAAUCAUUGGUUUUCGUUCGAACGGCAGUAAAACCCUUGUUAAAGUAGGAUUCGAUUCAGUUGUGCGGGAUGUACAUGUACAAAAUCACAGCUACAUCCGGUGAGAAUUGGCACGAUAUAUAUGAUGCCUCUUGAGAAAGCGUUCUACGCUUACUGUAUGAUUUGAACCCUUGCAACAACUCUUUUUGGUAAUUCGUAGGUGGCCUGUUAAAAGGAAAAAUGAAUCACUCUAUCCAAUUUACCCUUCUUUUCCAGUGGUAGUAUAAAUUUCAACUUUCACUACGCCACUAUCACAGGAACAAUUGUGUUUUUUUUUUUUUGUAUUCAUCUCUCAUCCUGAACAUGAAAAUAAUCUGUUUGCUAGUUAGUCCGAUAUUACUCUGACGUCUAACGGCUGUUUUGCCAGACACGCUGGGGCCGUGGGACGUCAGAGCUCGUCCCAUAUCAAAAAGUGGAUAUUUGCCCACCCAAAAUAGAUGCACUGCUUCGUCGCUUCUGUUGCCGACUGACGGCCUUGGAAUUUUCUAAAUCGGGCAUCAAAUUGAUCAUUUUUCAUUUAUCUCUUCAUUUAUGUAAGUUUCACCUACCUGCCAACUUUUAUUUUUCCAUAUUUAUGCCAUUCGGCACCAGAAGCGACGAAGCAGCGCAUCUAUUUUGAUACGGGACGAGCUCUAUUCAAAUAAUUCUCUAUACUGUAAACAUUAAUCAGACGCCGAUCAGCUGACACUUUUGUCAAUAACUGCACCUUAAAUGCGUUAAAUAAUACAUUAGAAGCGAAUGGUUACAUGUGGUAAAACGCAAUAACUUUUCUGAUUUGUCAUACGACGUUGACAUUGAAAUGGUUAUCUUAUAUACGAUAAACUGGGAAAAAAAUAUAAUGAAUGUAGCAAACCAAUUUAUGAUUUCUAAAAAAGAUAGGGGAAGAAGUAGCAUGAGUGUCGUUGAGUCAAAUAUCUACAAAGGUAAACAAAAACGAUGUACACAAUUGCAUACCACCAUAUGACCGUAAACACACAACCUAUAUCGUUUUCUAAGUAAUGAAAGGCUUGGGAUGGAAAAAAAUGAGAUCCAAUUUAAAAAAAAAAAACAACGGCCUGGUUAAAACUUAAACAUAAAUUAAAACUGAACUUGCUGUUUGUUUUUUUCCCAAUAUUUAUGUUGUAAAAAUGAGUAAUAUAAAAGUCAAUUGCAUUUAUAUUUUUCAUUCAGGACUUAGAAAAUACAAGAGCCAUAUCAUACUGGCAAAUCUAUUGUGAGUAUUUUACAAAGUUAAAUGUGUUGGGCUGUGUUGAAUCCAAACUUUUACAAGGGUAUAUGAGUAUGUUCAUCAUUGUUGUUUUUGAUUUUAUAUCCGUUAGAAAAAUAAAUAAAGUGGUGACUGUAUAAUGAAUGAUAUGGUAAAUUAAUACGCUAACCAUUCGUGUGAUUAAAUUGUCACAUCUGAUGCCUAGUGUAAGUAUUGUAGGAAUAAAAAGAAGGGUAGGUGCAGAUAGAAUAAAAAAAAGGGUAGGUGCAGAUAUUGUCACACUACAUUUAUGAUGGUAAUCUUGUGCCAAUUUUGCAGAACAUGCCAAUCAUAUUGAUUGAUUCGAAACCAUACACAUGUCCGGUGUCCGUCUGUCUGUCCGUCUGUCCGGCGUAAACAUAUCGCACCGUAACUUGAGAACGACUUAUCCAAAUUUCAUGAAACUUAAUAUAGUUGUUUCUUAUGAUGGUCAAAUGAUCUGUAUACUUUUUGGUGAAAAUUGGAUUUAAACUUUUUGAUUUACGGCACUUUGUAACUAAAACAGGGAUGUGUUUUUUUUCACAUGUCGCACUGUAUCUCAAAAACGAUUCUUGAUUAUGGCUUAAAAAUUUAAACACUUCUUAGUUAUAUUAAUCUUAAUAUCUGUAUACUUUUUGGUGAUGAUUUAAAAUUUAAUUUUUUGAGUUAUUGAGUAUUUUGUAAAAAAAGGGGGAGGUUUUUUUUACAUGCCGCGGCAUAUCUCAAAGUCGAUUGAUGAUUAUUGCUACAAACUUUACACAUGCCUUUGUUAUAUUAAUCUAAAGAUCUGUAUACUUUUUGAUGAUGAUUAAAAAUUUCAUUUUUGAGUGAUUGAGUAUUUUGUUAAACACGGGAGGUUUUUUUUACAUGUCGCGUCGUAUCUCAAAAAUAAUUUAUGAUUAUUGCUUAAAACUUUACACACUUCUUUGUUAUAUUAAUCUAAAGAUCUGUAUAGUUUUUGGUUUUGAUUAUUGCAUAUAACUUCCACAUAAGACGUCGGGCGUAUCAUGCGCUCAUGGCGCAGUUGUUUAUUAAAAAUCAACAGACAACAUUAACUCAUUUGUACAACAUGUGAUGUAGCAUUAAUCAAUUGAGUGCAAACUAUAAAAAUAUCAUCCUUUUUUAAUGUGUUCUAUAUUUGAUUUAGCCCUUAUUACUUAAUUGAGAAACAUGAUAUAUCGUUUGUAUUCUAUUGUAGGUUCGAAAUGAACAUUGUGAAAUAACGUCUCGAUGGGAGACGAUUAAGCCAUGAAAAUCUUCGUCUGGUGGAGGAACGACGUUUAUAUGACCUACAAAAUAUUUCCACGUUUCACAAGUGUCGUAUCGACUUUGUCAAAGACUUGCUUGGUUUUUUAUUUCUUAUUAUAUUUUUAAAAAGUUAUUAUAGUCCAAUGUCAUGUUUAAUAUAGUAUAAAUUAUAUAAUUUUUUCAACUGCAAUUUUACAGAUAAAAUAUUUGUUAUUAA